UUGAAUUUAUUUAAUAUCAAAUGACAGCGUUAUAACGGGACGUUGAUUACAAUAAAUUUUCAAGUUGAGUCGACAAUUAGUUCUGAGACAUAAGGGGCCAAAGAAGUUCAAAUUUAUUAACUCUUUAGGGAAUGGUAAUAUGAAAAGUAUCCUUUUUGGUGUUUGAAAAUGCACGUGCGAAACGUUAUCUACAUCUUUAAAUCGUGACAAUUCUGCGUUUCGAGCAAUUGAAAUAAAACUAAAGCCAACCUUUAGAUUCGUCAAGUGAUUUAAAAAAACUAUUCUCAGAAGUUCUACUUGAAAGAUGACGAAUCUGAAGAGAGAUUGUCCAAAUUGAAAAUAUUCUACUUAACAUGACAUCAACGCUCCCCACCAAAACCGUCUUCUCUUGCUCGACGCAGUACCGAGUGCAGAGUUUUUAUCAUCUUUAUCUCUCUUCCUUAUCAAAUUUCAAAAAUAUUUUACGUUUCCCAGAAUACCUCGCCAUAUUUUUGGCGGAGUUUUUUUUUCUUUAUCAAACAUAAAACGAAGAAAAUGAUGAAAUUCAAAUUCAAAGUGAUUCACCACUAAUUAUUAAUAGCAUUAAUAUUACUAAUUUAAAUAGUGAUUCACCAAUUACUAAUAUUACUAACAGCGUAAUACGAAUAGUAUGCAUUUCGGUUUCGUUUCGCGUGAGACCUUUUUUCAUGCGACUUUUCUUUGUUCACAAUUACACGUUUUCUUUUGCAACAGUUGUUUUAUUCACAGUUGCGCGAUUUUUUUGCGCGUCUUUUUCCAGAAGACGGCACAAUUCUAAUAAAAUACGCAUCAAUUAAUUUGCAGGAAACGAUAACGCAGAGGUGAUGACAACGAUGAUGAAUGUUAAUCUUCUUCAUUUCCCUCAACAUUCUUUAACACGAAACAUUCAGAUUCGUUGUUAACAGUCAGCAAAAUCAUUGGAACUAACUUUUUAUAUUAACAAACGGAGAGGUCCGCGUACCGACGUUGAAAGCUCGCUGCAAUUGACGUUCCAAAAUGAGCUUUCAUUUCCUGCCAAAUUCAGUCCACGAUCAAACGUAGCAUUUGAAAU